rnacentral:rRNA from 1 species
AUUGAACGCUGGCGGCAGGCCUAACACAUGCAAGUCGAACGAGUGGCGGACGGGGGAGUAAUGUCUGGGAAACUGCCUGAUGGAGGGGGAUAACUACUGGAAACGGUAGCUAAUACAGCAUACCAUCGGAUGUGCCCAUAUGGGCUUAGCUAGUAGGUGGGGGAAAGGGUCACCUAGGCGACGAACCCUAGCUGGUCGGAGAGGAUGACCAGCCACACUGGAACUGAGACACGGUCCAGCCGCCUACGGGAGGAAGCAGUGGGGCAUAUUGGACAAUGGGCGCAAGCAUGAUGCAGCCAUGCCGCGUGUAUGAAGAAGGCCUUCGGGUUGUAAAGUACUUUCAGCGGUGAGGCGUUACCCGCAGAAGAAGCACCGGCUAACUCCGUGCCAGCCGCCGCGGUAAUAC